ACGCUAGCGACAGGCUUAACACAUGCAAGUCGAGGGUUAGCACAGGUAGCAAUACCGGGUGGCGACCGGCGCACGGGUGAGUAACGCGUAUGCAACUUACCUAUCAGAGGGGGAUAACCCGGCGAAAGUCGGACUAAUACCGCAUGAAGCAGGGGCCCCGCAUGGGGAUAUUUGCUAAAGAUUCAUCGCUGAUAGAUAGGCAUGCGUUCCAUUAGGCAGUUGGCGGGGUAACGGCCCACCAAACCGACGAUGGAUAGGGGUUCUGAGAGGAAGGUCCCCCACAUUGGUACUGAGACACGGACCAAACUCCUACGGGAGGCAGCAGUGAGGAAUAUUGGUCAAUGGCCGAGAGGCUGAACCAGCCAAGUCGCGUGAGGGAUGAAGGUUCUAUGGAUCGUAAACCUCUUUUAUAAGGGAAUAAAGUGCGGGACGUGUCCCGUUUUGUAUGUACCUUAUGAAUAAGGAUCGGCUAACUCCGUGCCAGCAGCCGCGGUAAUACGGAGGAUCCGAGCGUUAUCCGGAUUUAUUGGGUUUAAAGGGUGCGUAGGCGGCCUUUUAAGUCAGCGGUGAAAGUCUGUGGCUCAACCAUAGAAUUGCCGUUGAAACUGGGGGGCUUGAGUAUGUUUGAGGCAGGCGGAAUGCGUGGUGUAGCGGUGAAAUGCAUAGAUAUCACGCAGAACCCCGAUUGCGAAGGCAGCCUGCCAAGCCAUUACUGACGCUGAUGCACGAAAGCGUGGGGAUCAAACAGGAUUAGAUACCCUGGUAGUCCACGCAGUAAACGAUGAUCACUAGCUGUUUGCGAUACACUGUAAGCGGCACAGCGAAAGCGUUAAGUGAUCCACCUGGGGAGUACGCCGGCAACGGUGAAACUCAAAGGAAUUGACGGGGGCCCGCACAAGCGGAGGAACAUGUGGUUUAAUUCGAUGAUACGCGAGGAACCUUACCCGGGUUUGAACGCAUUCGGACCGAGGUGGAAACACCUUUUCUAGCAAUAGCCGUUUGCGAGGUGCUGCAUGGUUGUCGUCAGCUCGUGCCGUGAGGUGUCGGCUUAAGUGCCAUAACGAGCGCAACCCUUGCCACUAGUUACUAACAGGUAAAGCUGAGGACUCUGGUGGGACUGCCAGCGUAAGCUGCGAGGAAGGCGGGGAUGACGUCAAAUCAGCACGGCCCUUACACCCGGGGCGACACACGUGUUACAAUGGCGUGGACAAAGGGAAGCCACCUGGCGACAGGGAGCGAAUCCCCAAACCACGUCUCAGUUCGGAUCGGAGUCUGCAACCCGACUCCGUGAAGCUGGAUUCGCUAGUAAUCGCGCAUCAGCCAUGGCGCGGUGAAUACGUUCCCGGGCCUUGUACACACCGCCCGUCAAGCCAUGGGAGCCGGGGGUACCUGAAGUCCGUAACCGCGAGGAUCGGCCUAGGGUAAAACUGGUA
rnacentral:rRNA from 1 species